CCAUUUCUACCGAAUAAUUGAAAUUACUGAAUAUUUAUCCAUUUCAUUUCCGGUUUGUGUCAUCCUUUCUCCUUCAACCACUGAAAGUAGUGCAGAGCAAACUCAUUGCAAGAAUGGCUUUUUUGACAAGCCAACCCCGAGGAAUUGGUCCUUUGUUGUCUCCAAGCUUCAUCGUCACACAAAAUAGAAUAAAGAUGAAAAUUACUAUACCAUUCCAUGUGAGAAUACAGUAGCUUUACCCAUAUUCAGUCUUAGCAGCUUAUCUUCCCUCAGACUACUUUACUUAACUGCCGAUCACUGCCUCAUAACCUAAUGUGAUGGAGUCAGGGGCACUGAAAGAGACGGUUGUCAAUGUACCUGUCAGCUCAUGUCCUGUAGAACUUUAUGGCAGUUCAGACCCAAAGGACUUUGAAAGCUUCGUUUUCUUGGAUAAAAAUGAACAGCUGCGUAACUUCUUUAGCACCACUGACUACGAAAUCGAAGUGUCUGAAAUGCAACUUGCAGAUCCGUUAAAUCAUGUUGAAAUGUCCGAUUGCUCAUUGCAGUCUGACGAAGAUUAUUAUCUAAAUGUUGAGUGCUCAUCGUUACCUUCAGAGAUGACUCUAAUAAGUAGGAAUACUGAUGUAACAACCGGUAAACUUGGAGCUAAUAUCAGCCCAUCUAAAAUCGUACCAUUUUCAUCACUUUCAACUGAAGCAACUUUGCCGCUCAAUUCAUACAGGUUCAGUGAUGUCAUUAUUUCUGACCACUCCUGUACUCUGGUCGAUGACAAUGAUACCUUCAUCUCGUUUGAGGCUGCUUCUGUAAACUCUUUACCUGACGCAGAGAAAUCUGAUACAAACAUGACCAAGUCAGUUGCAAGAACAGCGGCUGUUAUUUCUCAAAAAAAUGGAACAAUGAAAAGGCAACCAAGUAAAUCCGCCUCCGCAGCAGUAGUUAAGUCUAAAAGUGCUAGAAAAAUCCCAAAGCUGACACCCAUGAACAGCUUGAUAAAGAAAGAAUUCGUGACGGAAGGGGAGACGACUGUUAAAGUGGAUCAUGACAAUACCAAAGAAUCGAAAGUUUUUAAUAACAUGAAAAUUUCGGAUGGUAACAAAGUUUUUAAACUUCAACAAGUCAAAGAUGGAUCAAACGAGAAAGGAGACUUGGUCCACCUGAAAAUUCAAGAUUCAACAGUGAAGGAAGGAUCCAAUGCUGAAAAUACAUCUGAAACUUUUAAAUGGGUCCUAAUGCGAGCUACUCCUCCCUCUGAUCCUGCAGAAGAGAAACCGGUGAAUGAAGCAUUUGAGAAAAUGGGUAUAUCGGAGGAAGAGCUGAACAAAUUACAGAUGGAUGUAGGUAACCAGAAAGUCUGGUUCUGCCCACAAAAUGGUUGCAUGUAUAAUGCAUCUAGAAUGAACUGGCUUAAGGCUCACCUUCUUCAAACACACUAUGAUGUUCGACCGUACAAGUGUGAUCAUGAGAAUUGCAGCUGGUCAUUUUUUUCGCUAGUCAAGCUAAAAAGGCACAAACAACACAUCUGA
rnacentral:lncRNA from 1 species